rnacentral:rRNA from 1 species
UACAGAGGCCCCGAGCGUUACUGAGAAUCACUGGGUUUAAAGGGUGCGUAGGUGGCGCGUUAAGUCCGUUGUGAAAUCCCUUGGCUCAACCAAGGAAAUGCUUCGGAUACUGGCGUGCUUGAGGCUAGUAGGGGUCACUGGAACUGACGGUGGAGCGGUGAAAUGCGUAGAUAUCGUCAGGAACGCCGAUGGUGAAGACAGGUGACUGGGCUAGUUCUGACACUGAGGCACGAAAGCGUGGGGAGCAAACAGG